rnacentral:lncRNA from 1 species
CGGCGAUUAGAUACUGAAGAAUUAAGUUUGCCAGAUAUUUCUGCAGAAAUCGCCGAGAAAAUGGCUACAUUUCAUGGUAUGAAAAUGCCAUUCAAUAAGGAACCAAAAUGGCUUUUUGGCACAAUGGAAAAGUAUCUAAAGGAAGUGCUGAGAAUUAAAUUUACUGAGGAAUCCAGAAUUAAAAAGCUCCACAAAUUGCUCAGUUACAAUCUGCCCUUGGAACUGGAAAACCUGAGAUCAUUGCUUGAAUCUACUCCAUCUCCAGUUGUAUUUUGUCAUAAUGACUGUCAAGAAGGUAAUAUCUUGUUGCUGGAAGGCCGAGAGAAUUCUGAAAAACAGAAACUGAUGCUCAUUGAUUUCGAAUACAGCAGUUACAAUUACAGGGGAUUCGACAUUGGAAAUCACUUCUGUGAGUGGAUGUAUGAUUAUAGCUAUGAAAAAUACCCUUUUUUCAGAGCAAACAUCCGGAAGUAUCCCACCAAGAAACAACAGUUACUUGCCUGCAUUCCAAAAUGACUUUGAAAACCUCAGUACUGAAGAAAAAUCCAUUAUAAAAGAAGAAAUGUUGCUUGAAGUUAAUAGGUUUGCCCUUGCAUCUCAUUUCCUCUGGGGACUGUGGUCCAUUGUACAAGCCAAGAUUUCAUCUAUUGAAUUUGGGUACAUGGACUACGCCCAAGCAAGGUUUGAUGCCUAUUUCCACCAGAAGAGGAAGCUUGGGGUGUGACUGUGGGGAGGACUCCAUCCACCUCAUCACUGGACUGCAUGGGGAGGCAGCAGAGCGGGGUCCCCUCUGUGCUUCGACUACUGCUCCUGUGGCAGGAGGCUUUGGGUGGCUCACUACUGAACACGUGUAUGAUACUAAAGACGGUAUUAAAAUGGAGCGACGUUUAUUUCAUCUCUUGUUUACGAUUUCACUAGGACUCAGAAACGAGAUCGGGAAGCAGAAAUAUAGUGCAAUAGUGCAACAUCUCUGAAUCCUUUUAAUCUAGAGAAGGCAUUUCAUAUUUGGGGGCUAAGGUUUCCAGUCAGAUGAGGCAAACAGCAAGAGUAAGCAGUGUUACUUGCAGGUACUUUGGUUAAUGUUGAUUUAAAUUUUCAUGAAUGUGCUGGUGAACACUGUGACCAGGCUUUUGUAGAUGGCUAUGUGUUAUAGACGGUGCUCACUCCCAAGGGACGGCAAGUGAGCAGAGAUGUACUGCGAAGUCGCCAGUCACUGCUGCAAGGUGGCCUCUGCCUGGGGCCUCCGGAAGCUGCUCCUCUACCCUCUUGGUCCCAUGGCUGAAGCUGGAGCAGCGGAUUGCUCUGGAGCAGCCAAGGCCGCCUGCGUGUGGAGCAGAGCUCUCCCCUCCUGCUGGGCGUGUGUGACACUGAUGAGUUUCACUGUACUGCAUGUGACUUCUCCCCUGCCCUUCCUCCUGAUGGAGUGCAGACAGCCAUGCGUGGCCACGGGGGCAGUGUGAGGACCUCCGUGUCUCCCGGCUCCCCUCCCAGGGGAGCCAGCUGCUUGACCUAGCUCUUUGGGCCUCUCCUGCCCUCUGCUCUGCCUGGAGUGUCGGAUCCUGUGAGUAGGCUGGGCCGCCCCUGGGCAGGGUUCUCCAAGGGCCCGGUUUCCCGGCCCUUACCUUUCCUGAUGCCCCUGACAUCAUCAUUCUUGUGGGAGACAGCAGCCUGUAUGUGGUGUGGGGCGUGGAUCGAGUGUAGCUGUGAAAUCCAUAUAUAUGAAAUGUCCCGCGGGAUACAGUCUUAGCUGACUUUUUUUUACUCUGAACUCUGAAUUGUUUUUUGUGCAUAUAUUUCUGCUACCACAGAGAUUGUACUAUACAAAUAAAAAAAUAAAAAC